AUAAACACCCGCAUAGAGCUUAGCCAGCAAUGCGGAACCGAGUCUUGCGCGGCGUCGGGUAACCGACGGCGUGAAGCGUAGACAGGGAGGGCGCAGGCCGUAACGCAAGUGAAUGGAUUGAGCCUCGAAAAGUCAACCCUUCCCGAAAGGGAAGCAGUCGUGGAAGCCGAGUCGCUUAUUUGCGCCGAAGGCAAUAUGAGACGACCGAAACAACUGCAAGGUCGCGUAGUUCCACCGGGGUCGAAGACAA
rfam:Candidatus Lindowbacteria bacterium RIFCSPLOWO2_12_FTLL_62_27 rifcsplowo2_12_scaffold_1512, whole genome shotgun sequence.